GACGAACGCUGCGGCGUGCUUAACACAUGCAAGUCAAGGGGGCCCAGCAAUGGGCAACCGGCGAACGGGUGCGUAACACGUGGGCAACCUACCGAACUGUGGGGGAUAGCCGGCCUAACGGCCGAGUAAUACCGCAUACGCUUUCAUUGAGGCAUUUCAGUGAAAGGAAACCUACGGGACAGAUCGAGGGGCUCGCGGCCUAUCAGCUAGUUGGCGAGGUAACGGCUCACCAAGGCGACGACGGGUAGCUGGUCUGAGAGGAUGGCCAGCCACAUUGGGACUGAGAUACGGCCCAGACUCCUACGGGAGGCAGCAGUGGGGAAUCUAGCGCAAUGGCCUAACGGCUGACGCAGCGACGCCGCGUGUGGGAUGAAGCUCUUCGGAGUGUAAACCACUGUUGCCCGGGACGAAUAGCUCGAUUAAUCGAGCCUGACGGUACCGGGUGAGGAAGCACCGGCUAACUCCGUGC
rnacentral:rRNA from 1 species